rnacentral:rRNA from 1 species
GACGAACGCUGGCGGCGUGCUUAACACAUGCAAGUCGAACGGAAAGGCCCUGCUUUUGUGGGGUGCUCGAGUGGCGAACGGGUGAGUAACACGUGAGUAACCUGCCCUUGACUUUGGGAUAACUUCAGGAAACUGGGGCUAAUACCGGAUAGGAGCUCCUGCUGCAUGGUGGGGGUUGGAAAGUUUCGGCGGUUGGGGAUGGACUCGCGGCUUAUCAGCUUGUUGGUGGGGUAGUGGCUUACCAAGGCUUUGACGGGUAGCCGGCCUGAGAGGGUGACCCGCCACAUUGGGACUGAGAUACGGCCCAGACUCCUACGGGAGGCAGCAGUGGGGAAUAUUGCACAAUGGGCGGAAGCCUGAUGCAGCAACGCCGCGUGCGGGAUGACGGCCUUCGGGUUGUAAACCGCUUUCGCCUGUGACGAAGCGUGAGUGACGGUAAUGGGUAAAGAAGCACCGGCUAACUACGU